rnacentral:rRNA from 1 species
AGUUUGAUCCUGGCUCAGGAUGAACGCUAGCUACAGGCUUAACACAUGCAAGUCGAGGGGCAGCAUGUCGGUUGCUUGCAACCGAUGAUGGCGACCGGCGCACGGGUGAGUAACGCGUAUCCAACCUACCCUUGUCCAUCGGAUAACCCGUCGAAAGGCGGCCUAACACGAUAUGCGGUUCUCAGCAGGCAUCUAACGAGAACGAAAUGUGAAGGAGAAGGAUGGGGAUGCGUCUGAUUAGCUUGUUGGCGGGGUAACGGCCCACCAAGGCUACGAUCAGUAGGGGUUCUGAGAGGAAGGUCCCCCACAUUGGAACUGAGACACGGUCCAAACUCCUACGGGAGGCAGCAGUGAGGAAUAUUGGUCAAUGGACGAGAGUCUGAACCAGCCAAGUAGCGUGCAGGAUGACGGCCCUAUGGGUUGUAAACUGCUUUUAUAGGGGGAUAAAGUGUGCCACGUGUGGCAUAUUGCAGGUACCCUAUGAAUAAGGACCGGCUAAUUCCGUGCCAGCAGCCGCGGUAAUACGGAAGGUCCGGGCGUUAUCCGGAUUUAUUGGGUUUAAAGGGAGCGUAGGCCGUUUGGUAAGCGUGUUGUGAAAUGUCGGGGCUCAACCUGGGCAUUGCAGCGCGAACUGUCAGACUUGAGUGCGCAGGAAGUAGGCGGAAUUCGUCGUGUAGCGGUGAAAUGCUUAGAUAUGACGAAGAACUCCGAUUGCGAAGGCAGCUCACGGGAGCGCAACUGACGCUGAAGCUCGAAAGUGCGGGUAUCGAACAGGAUUAGAUACCCUGGUAGUCCGCACGGUAAACGAUGGAUGCCCGCUGUUGGCUUGAAUUAGUCAGCGGCCAAGCGAAAGCAUUAAGCAUCCCACCUGGGGAGUACGCCGGCAACGGUGAAACUCAAAGGAAUUGACGGAAGGGC